GAUGAACGCUAGCUACAGGCUUAACACAUGCAAGUCGAGGGGAAACGACAUCGAAAGCUUGCUUUUGAUGGGCGUCGACCGGCGCACGGGUGAGUAACGCGUAUCCACCCUGCCCACCACUUGGGGAUAACCUUGCGAAAGUAAGACUAAUACCCAAUGAUAUCUCUAGAAGACAUCCGAAGGAGAUUAAAGAUUUAACGGUGAUGGAUGGGGAUGCGUCUGAUUAGCUGUUUGGUGAGGUAACGGCCCACCAAGGCGACGAUCAGUAGGGGUUCUGAGAGGAAGGUCCCCCACAUUGGAACUGAGACACGGUCCAAACUCCUACGGGAGGCAGCAGUGAGGAAUAUUGGUCAAUGGGCGAGAGCCUGAACCAGCCAAGUAGCGUGCAGGAUGACGGCCCUAUGGGUUGUAAACUGCUUUUAUAAGGGAAUAAAGUGAGUCUCGUGAGACUUUUUGCAUGUACCUUAUGAAUAAGGACCGGCUAAUUCCGUGCCAGCCGCCGCGGUAA
rnacentral:rRNA from 1 species